rnacentral:tRNA from 1 species
GAACUGUAGCUCAUUGGCAGAGCGCUUGCCUAGCAUGUGUGAGGCACUGGGUUCAAGUCUCAGCACCA